AACGAACGCUGGCGGCAGGCCUAACACAUGCAAGUCGAGCGCCCCGCAAGGGGAGCGGCAGACGGGUGAGUAACACGUGGGAACCUUCCCUAUAGUACGGAAUAGCCCAGGGAAACUUGGAGUAAUACCGUAUACGCCCGAGAGGGGAAAGAUUUAUCGCUAUAGGAUGGGCCCGCGUAGGAUUAGCUAGUUGGUGAGGUAAUGGCUCACCAAGGCGACGAUCCUUAGCUGGUCUGAGAGGACGACCAGCCACACUGGGACUGAGACACGGCCCAGACUCCUACGGGAGGCAGCAGUGGGGAAUAUUGGACAAUGGGCGCAAGCCUGAUCCAGCCAUGCCGCGUGAGUGAUGAAGGCC
rnacentral:rRNA from 1 species